ACGUUUUUAGUUUAACGGUAAAACAAAGGUCUCCAAAAUCUAAGAUGAAAGUUCAAUUCUUUCAAAACGUG
rnacentral:tRNA from 1 species